rnacentral:tRNA from 1 species
CGGGGUGUGGCGCAGCCUGGUAGCGCACCUGCUUUGGGAGCAGGGGGCCGGAGGUUCGAAUCCUCUCACCCCGACCA